rnacentral:rRNA from 1 species
GAUGAACGCUGGCGGCGUGCUUAACACAUGCAAGUCGAACGGGAUCCCAGGAGCUUGCUCCUGGGUGAGAGUGGCGAACGGGUGAGUAAUGCGUGACCGACCUGCCCCAUACACCGGAAUAGCUCCUGGAAACGGGUGGUAAUGCCGGAUGCUCCGACAUGACGCAUGUCGUGUCGGGAAAGAUUCAUCGGUAUGGGAUGGGGUCGCGUCCUAUCAGCUUGAUGGCGGGGUAACGGCCCACCAUGGCUUCGACGGGUAGCCGGCCUGAGAGGGCGACCGGCCACAUUGGGACUGAGAUACGGCCCAGACUCCUACGGGAGGCAGCAGUGGGGAAUAUUGCACAAUGGGCGCAAGCCUGAUGCAGCGACGCCGCGUGCGGGAUGACGGCCUUCGGGUUGUAAACCGCUUUUGACUGGGAGCAAGCCCUUCGGGGUGAGUGUACCUUUCGAAUAAG